rnacentral:misc_RNA from 1 species
UUUCCGUAGGUGAACCUGCGGAAGGAUCAUUAUUGUAUAACCGAGGUGCGAGGGCUGUCGCUGACCCGAAAGGUCGUGCACGCCCGAGUGCCCUCACACACAUCCACCUCACCCCUAUGUGCACCACCGCGUGGGUCCCCCUUUGGCUUGUUCGGAGGGGGGCUUACGUUUUCACACAAACUUUGUAUGCAGUGUAGAAUGUAUUUUUUGUUUUUGCGAUCACGCAAUCAAUACAACUUUCAACAAUGGAUCUCUUGGCUCUC